GAACUGAAUUCUCCAAAAGUUAUAUUUGUCUGUCCUAGUUCUACCCUCUGUGGUUAAACUAGCAAGCUAUAAUCAUUUUUCCAUAUGGAAGUACUUUUUCUAUUUGAAGAGUUUUCAAAUCUCUUUGGAUAAUCUUAUCCCAGAUCCUUCAACUAUUUCUCCUGAUUUUGAGAACUUCACCGUCUUGAUCACUUUCUGUGGAAAAGCUCUGCUUACUGAACAACUCUGAAUGAGGGAAAUGAUAUUUUUUAAGAGCCAGGAGGCAUAUAAAUGUUCUCAGGCCACCAUCUUGAACCAAGAGGUAUCAGAACCAAGAAAAGUGUUAAAUGCUUAAUCGCCAGCAACACUACUCUCGUACUUUGGGACUUUUAUUAGAUAAAGUAACUGUUCCUUGAACGCAAGCACUGCCAUACCAGAAAGUCGAUGUGAUCGCAGAAAGGGCGGCUAAGUGACUCACAGGUGGAAAGCUGUUACAGCGUGGAUCUGCUGGACAAAGGGAAGAUUCAUGUCCUGAGAGGGACGGAACCUGACGGCCCAAGGUUUCAUCACACUACUCAGAACUGCAGUUGCUGCUGUAAAUGGAUUCCAAAACCACUUUUAAUUGACCCACCCCUACAUUGCCUCAGUUCAUCUCUCAUUCUGCACCAGCUGCCUGUUGUCCCAAAGUUUCAAUGCUAAUUCCACUAUGGCAUGCUCCUGGAAACUUAUGCAUAAGGAAUCUGGAACCAUCUGGUUUUAGUCGACUUUUUAAAAAUACGUUUUAGUGUCACAGUUGUAUUAUUAAACAUAAUUAUGCCUGGUA